UUCGGCAACCCGAAGAGCCAAAAACCGACUCUAAGUCAUCUUUUCGAAGCCCUUCCCACUGCGCGAAUUCGAUCCAGGAGGUGACAACCACCCCCGCCUAUCCCCGCCUCCCCAAACCGCUCGAGUGCUCGCAACAGCCACAGGGAACCCCUGGUCACUGACCUAAGAUCGUCAUCUCUCCGGCCAUCACAGUCCCGCCGAAGAGGCUUGGGAUGACUGUACCAGACGUGAGGUGACGCCCCCACACCGCCCCGCAGCCCCAAGGCCUACUGGGUAAUGUAGUUCUUUUUCUCCGACGCAGUCGGAGAAGCUACAUAUAUGACCAGAGAAGGGACUUCAUUUACCGUCAGGUCGCAGGACUGAGAACUUCCAUUCAACAGCUGCCAGUGACGUCUAAGCCGCCCUCCUACGCCGGGGCUACGGAACCAAUGAGGCUGAGGGGGAGGAGAGCCAAGAAGAGGGACUGGAAUUUAUAAUCAAACCUGAAGCGACUGGAGCCAAGUAGAGGAGAGUGGGAUGCUAUAAACCCGAGCUGACACUAUCAGCAAAAGGACUCCAGCAGUUUCUAGAGAAACUACGACGUGAAGAGGGGGAAAAAGAUGGAACCCGUGAGCCAUACCUACCUCUACAACCUCUGCCAAUGCCUGCAGCUCCAGAAUCUUCACUUCCCUGGCUGGGCCCAGGGAAGUUUUGUGCUUAAUUUGGGACAACAGAACGGAGGAAAAAAGGACUUUUAGGAUCAGUGGGUCCAUUUCUGCAAAAUGGCAGAGGAACUAUUGAUACAGUUGCAUUGGAUAUGUAAAUCAUUGGGAUUCCCAGCUGAGGGAGCCAGUGACCUAAUUCUGCUCAGUUCUAAUGCAACAUGGGAGUGAAUUCAGAAUAUCUCGGUACUGGCCUUGCUGGGAUUGCAGAACCCCAAAGUCAUUCUCCUGAUGCAGAGAUGCCACCAGAAUCAAACAGGCCACAAGUUUGCUAACCUGAAGGUCAAUCCUCUGUAAGAACUCCUGCAGAGUCUUGGGUUUUUCCUUUCCACUCCUUCGGUGUGCCUUUAUUUUCUUGGGGGCUGCUUCCUCUUCUGAGAUGACAUCCACAUAAAUAAAUUUGAAGUUUCCCACCUUAUUGUUCAGCAUUCCUGUCCACAUCCCCAUUGGCGUUUUGCAGAUAAUGUCUAUUAUGUCU